CUACACCCCGCAAAUUAUUUUUUCAGAGGGAGUGUGUGGGGCCGCUCCUCCCUUACCAACUUAUUUGGUGGGCCAGGCCAGUACGGACCAGUUCCUGGGCCGGCAGUCGGAACUGGAUUGGCUAGACAGCCGGACGUAUUUCGGGAGCAACUCGGCUCCAACGGUUCAAGCACCUGGGAGAGCUCACAAGCCAAGAGGAAAAUGGAUGACGAUUCCGAUAUCUUCGAUGAAAUGUGGCUGGAAAGUGUGGUCAUUGCGGGCUUCCGAGUGUGGCACAUUAUCGCUGCCGUUCUGGGCGUCCUCCUCUUAAUAAUGAUUAUGGUAUGCUGCUGCAUUCGCUUCCGUAUUCCGCGCACCAAGCAGGAAAUCGAGGCGGACUACCAACGCAAGCAGAUCACAAAGAAGUUCCGCGAGAAGCUGCAGCAGAUCAAGAACUCCGAAAUGGACGACAUGGACCUGCAAAAGGCACUUGCUUAUAUCAAAUUGGAACAGUACGAUGAUCCCUAGGGACUCUGUAAAUUCACCCGCACCCUGUACAAACUAUCGGAAGAACUUAAGCAGAAAACUCUUUAUCGCAAACACUGCCACUUUUGUGCCCGCAUCCAGAGCGACUAUCUGAAUUUCCAGGCCAGCAUGGAGAGCAUUAACGCGAAGCAGAAUGUUAAGUUUAAGAUCUAAGUGCCUUUUAUAGUAUUGUGCAGCGAAG